GCAAAUCAAGUAUAAGUCUCCACGCCAUAAGCUUUUUCCACGUAGAUUAGGGUUCAAAGGAUGAAGAUUGAUUUGUAUUUGCAAAAGAAAGCCCUUUCUAUGAAGCAUGACAAUGAGAAAAUAAAGAAAUAAGUCUCGAUCUAAGUGGAAGAAGUAGUUAGACUGUAGUUUUGAGCCCGAAAUCUGCAUUAUAAUGAAGAAAAGAAUGCAAGAAGAUUUUCUUGCACUCCAUACAAUAAUCAUGCAUACCAAUCUUAAUUUCUUCUUUGUGUCUGCCCUAUUAUCCCCAUACAUCCACCAUAAAAAUGAAGUUCUCCUUGCAAAUGGACUGCAUCCAAGGCUUUCACAUACCUGUUACACUGCCAAAGACCCACAUGAAGGGGAAGUCAAAUGGUUUUCAAGGAGUUUGAACAUGAGUUUUUGCCUCUUUACGGAUGAAUUCUGCAUGAGAGAUGUAAAGAAAGCUUUUUAAGAAAUAUGCAUGAACGAUUUACAUUGAGGGGUGAAUGGCACUACCUAAAAGAAAAACAUGAAGAAUCCUCGUGGACUUCUUUGGUAACUGUAAUAUCGGUGCCCUAAACUUCUGGUUUUGAUCUUUAUUUUUCUCAUUUUUGAAAGUUUGGAUAAUCCUUGAAAAUUAAUAUAAUUUCUGUCUUUCAACCACCUUUAUACAAGAUGGCUUGAUAAGAAACCAUCACCCUGUAACGUUAGUGACUGAUAAUAUGGACAACAGGAAAAGAAGAUAAUGCUAAUGAAUAAUGAAGCACAAAAGGAGGAGCAUGCCAAAUUUGUAAUGAUCUUUUGGUUCGGGCAAAUGAUUCAACAUGUUGAAAUGAUGAUUUGAUAUGAUACGCCUGGAGUGAUACAAAAGAAAGUACACAAGUUAGAUUCAAUGAUGAUGAAGAAUGUGCAUAUGGCAACCAUAGGUGGAGAAUGUGUUCCAGAAAAAGGUUACAGGAGUAACAUGAAUAAUAUGAGAUACUUCUUGUUUGGUUGAAUCUUUUCUAUCUUUCAGGAGAAACAUGAAGAAUAUGUGAUGUUUCUUGUUUGGUUGAAAAACAUUGUUGGGCAAUUGCAUCUACAAGUGAUCAUUCUAGAUAUGGCAUGUUGAAAACACUACAACUCCAACAUGUUGAAAAUUAAAUAUUUCCUUCUGGUUGUUUUCAUAAAAAUAUGCAGUUAUAAGAUUUGACAUCUUAUAACUUGAUUUAUAUAUACAUAUUUGCAUUAUAUUUUUUUCUUA